UGGGGAAUCUUGCACAAUGGGGGCAACCCUGAUGCAGCGACGCCGCGUGAGCGAUGAAGGUUUUCGAAUCGUAAAGCUCUGUCCUAUGGGAAGAUAAUGACGGUACCAUAGGAGGAAGCCCCGGCUAACUACGUGCCAGCAGCCGCGGUAAUACGUAGGGGGCGAGCGUUGUCCGGAAUUACUGGGCGUAAAGGGUUCGCAGGCGGCAUGGCAAGUCCGAUGUAAAAGGCGAAGGCUCAACCUUCGUAAGCAUCGGAAACUGUCAAGCUUGAGUGAAGGAGAGGGAAGUGGAAUUCCUAGUGUAGCGGUGGAAUGCGUAGAUAUUAGGAGGAAUACCGGUGACGAAGGCGACUUGCUGGACUUCAACUGACGCUGAGGAACGAAAGCGUGGGUAGCAAACAGG
rnacentral:rRNA from 1 species